UUCAUCUACGCUUUUCUCUCUACGGCAUCACGCUCAGUCUCAUCUUCUUCCCGAUUUGCCUCUCUAGCUUCUUCUCUUCUAAUCCAACCACAAGAACCAAACAGCUGCUAAACAGAACCAUACCCACAAGAGAAGAAACAGAGUUACAAGUUUCAAUCCAACUUGGCGGCACACCCACAACCUCAAAUCGGCGGCGCUUCUUCUCUUCCAAUCAAACUCAGCGACGCCACCCACAAUCUUCAGGUAGUAAAGGGGGAAGGAAAUAUAUCAAGCUAUGCCCAUGCACAUCCUAGUACUAAUGGAAGCAAAUGGUCUAGGGAAGAGAGAUUUAGGAGUAAUGCCAAUGGGUUUUGGUCCAUGAACAAGCGGCGCGUAUUGUUUAGUUGCUUUGUGAAUUUAAACUGAUUGAGUAUAAUUUGCUAGUAUUUCAUGAUGGUCUAGAUUGAUGGUUUUAGGGAUUUCAAGUUACCAUUAUGCUAGGACCAUAUAGGUUGUUGAGACAAUUAAAUACAUUUCUUGAUUGUGAGGAAAAAUAGGAGAAAUUUUAUGCUUUAUUCAGUUGCUGCAAAAUUAGAGAGAUGAGCUAGGAGUUUAAACCUUGGUUAUAUAGCAGGGGGUGAAUUUAGUUCCCAGCUUCUUUUCCAAAAGCACCACCAGGGUCAAGGUGGUCUAGGGAAGUGUUUUCUUUGAAAUUAUAAUGAGUUUUAAAGUGAUGAAAAUUCUUUGAACAUUUUGAUUCUUGUCUUAUUCUUUGAACAUUUUAGUCUAAUGUGAGCCCAAUAAAUUGUAUGGAAAUAAGUUCAACUCAGUGUAAAUACUGACUAUUGACUGCAGCUGAAAGGCCCCUUUACUGGCCAAUCACCUUGAGCUGACUUAUGUAUCAUCUUCAUUUCAUGUAUAGAUGUCCAAUGGAAAACAAUUAAUCUGUUCUCACAAAAGCUAUUUACAUGUAGGGACCAAGAAGAAGAUUCGUCUUGCUCUGUGGCUUCAUUCCAUACGAGAACAACCAUAGCUGCAAACAUUUAUUGGCUGCACUUUGGAGAGUAUUUGUUACAUCUAUAACUUAUAGCUCGACUAAAUAUUGACAAGCAUGGGGAGUGUAAGUAUUUUUUUAGGUGGAGAUAUGAGUGUGUUGCUUUUCAAGAACAUGAAAUCUAUGUCUUGGAGGAAAAAAUGAAACGGUUUAUAUAUGUAAUGGGAUAUGGACGAUUGUGCUAGUGAAACAUCUAACUAUUUGUUUAAUCAAGAUAAUUUUUUUCCUCA